rnacentral:rRNA from 1 species
GAUCCUGGCUCAGGAUGAACGCUGGCGGCACGCUUAACACAUGCAAGUCGAACGAUUAAAGCACCUUCGGGUGUGUAUAGAGUGGCGAACGGCUGAGUAACACGUGGGCAACCUGCCCUUCAGUUCGGAAUAGCUACGGGAAACCGUGGGUAAUACCGGAUGAUCCACCUCCCUCGCAUGAAGGAGGUGGCAAAGAUUUAUCGCUGAAGGAUGGGCCCGCGGCCUGUUAGCUUGUUGGUGAGGUAACGG